rnacentral:rRNA from 1 species
CUAAAAAGUCAGCCGGCCUAGCACCACUAACAACUCUUCAAGCCCACAACUAAACCAUUAGCCAUAUCAAGUAUCAGAGACAGAAAAAUAGCACCCGCGCGAUAGCCAAAAGUACCACAUGGGAACACUGAAAGAAAACUUAACAUCCAAGCACAAAACAGCAGGGCCAUUAACCCGUACCUCUUGCAUCAUGGUUUAACAAGCACCCCCAGAUAAAGCGUACUUUAACCUGCCCCCCCGAAUCCAGACGAUCUACCACAGAGCAGUCAAUUAGGAUACACCCCCCUCUGUGGCAAAAGAGCGGGAAGACUUUGUGGUAGCGGUGAAACGCCAAUCGAGCCUGGUGAUAGCUGGUUGCUCAUCAAACGAAUCUAAGUUCGACUCUAGCCAAACCCCAAUGACCACCUACACUCAUGUGGUGCCUAGAAGUUAUACAAUUAGGGGACAGCCUAAUUGUAACCGGACACAGCCACAGCUGGAGGGACAGGACCACUCUCACACCCAGUAGGCCCUUAAGCAGCCACCAGACAACACCGCGUCAAAGCAGCACACACAAAAAUCUCUACACUCAACCCCACCCCCCACACGAAACCGAGCUACCCUAGACAAAAACUAGAGGAAACACUGUUAAAACUAGUAAUAAGAACCAACUCUCUUCUGCACACCCUUACACCGGCACGGACUUACCACCGGUAAUUAACAACCAAAAACCGCCCACCACAUGUCACCCCAACACAGGAGUGCCCCAAAGAUCAGGCAAACUGUCACAGAAGGAACUCGGCUAAUAUGCCCCACCUGUUUACCAAAAACAUCGCCUUUAGCCAAACAAGUAUUAAAGGUACCGCCUGCCCAGUGAACCCCCUUAAACGGCCGCGGUACUCUAACCGUGCAAAGGUAGCGUAAUCACUUGCCCCCUAAAUAGGGGCUAGUAUGAACGGCUAAAUGAGGGCCUAACUGUCUCCUGCGACAAGCCAAUGAAACUGCUCUCUCAGUACAAAAGCUGAGAUACACCCACAAGACGAGAAGACCCUGUGGAGCUUAUAAAUGCUACACUAACACCNCCAAAAACCCCCCCCCCCAUAGUGCUAACUUUUAGUUGGGGCGACUACGGAGACAACCCAAACCUCCAUGAGACAAGGCCUCACUGCCUAAGGCACACAAGCCAAGGGUACUUAUAGCCUCUUGACCCAGCACCGCUGAACAACGGACCAAGUUACCCCAGGGAUAACAGCGCAAUCCUCCCCAAGAGUCCAUAUCGCCAGGAGGGUUUACGACCUCGAUGUUGGAUCAGG